AUAUCUUUUUAAGCCUCGUGGCUAAAAUCAAGUGGGCAUCUCUUCUUAUCAGUUUAAUAUCUAAUACAUGGAAUAUCUAAUACGUGGGCCAUCGGCUCAAAUGAUAUUAAAUUAAUUUCUUUUAGAGGAGGGCUUACCACAGUAGCUUGCUAUUGGGGUCCUUGAGCGUCGCCCUUGGGUUGGGUGAGUGCACCCCAC